UACGUAGGGUGCAAGCGUUAUCCGGAAUUAUUGGGCGUAAAGAGCUCGUAGGCGGUUUGUCGCGUCUGCUGUGAAAAACUGGAGGCUCAACCUCCAGCCUGCAGUGGGUACGGGCAGACUAGAGUGCGGUAGGGGGAGAUUGGAAUUCCUGGUGUAGCGGUGGAAUGCGCAGAUAUCAGGAAGAACACCCGUGGCGAAGGCGGCUCUCUGGGACGGUACUGACGCUGAGACGCGAAAAGCGUGGGGGAGCAAACAGG
rnacentral:rRNA from 1 species